rnacentral:lncRNA from 1 species
AUGCAGUUUUUCAUAAAACCUCUUCCACUCACAGUUACUUUUGCAGUUUCAUUCCUAAUUCACCAUAUUAAUGGGCAAUUUGAGUUGGACACAAACUCAGAUAAUGAAAGAGUCCCAAAGGUUCGGUUCAAAGCAGCUCCUGCACCCGUGCGAGACACGUUAUUUGAGACCUUUAGAGACAAAAAUAUUUUCCUGAUUGAUCCUGAUUUUCCUGGCCCAAAGAGAUUUCGCAGAUCGGUGGCAGCAGCAACAGCACAUAAAACUGAUCAUUCAAGAAAAGGCCAUGCAUCUCACAGACAUGAGCAUAACAACGAGCACAAUCAUACUCACGUGAACAAAAGUGAGGACAAACAAGAGGACAAACAGGCUCAUGUUACGCAUACUCAUGCCAAGGAGACGACAACUGCCUCUGAUUACAGUAAGGACAAGGCAAAAGAUGCCGGAGUGACUUCAGCAACGUCAGCUUUAUCAGACAAGAACAAAACACACGUUGCCCAAGAGGAACAUAACCAUGAGGCAGCAAUAGUAAAACAGCAGGACGAAGAGAAAGAUGCCAAUGAGAACUACGACGGCGAUUUCAGUGCUGAUAUCAUUGAGCCUCCUUCAUCUCCAGAUAUUACUCAACUAAGUGAAACUUGCUUGCAAGUAAAAUGGACGUCAGGUUCGCCAAGGGACAGAGGGGUAAAAGGAUACAAAGUUGAAUACCUUAAGGGAAAUCUCAGCCACAUUGUCGGUGGGAGGCAUAAUUGGCAUGUAGUUGCGAAGAAAGCCAAGCCGAAGUUCAGAGUUUUGAGAGUGGAUGGUCUGGAGCCAGAAGCGAUGUACAGAUUUAGGAUCGCAACGAUCUACGCUGGAAAUAAGUAUAUUUACGGUCUCUCCUCAGGAUGGGUAAAACUCCAACGAUAUAGCUGA